CGGAAGUUCGGGGAGCGCGGAGGGGCGCGGAGAGGAGCGGAGCGAGGUCACAGCCUGUGCCCAGUCUGUGGAGAGACCUCGGCUAAUACUGAAGGGGACAGGACACAAAGGGCUAUCUGGGUCCUCCAGCCGCCGGCAGCAGUGUGACUGAUACCUAGACCAGCCAUGAUCCCUGCCUUCCUGAACCCUCGUCAUCAGAGUCAAAGAGUGCUUCCGAAAACUGCCCUGCACUGCCACAGUGACUUACCAGAGGAGCCUGGAGCUUUGGACUUGGCCAUGCCACGUAACCCCUUGGGAUGAAUUCCUUUUUUGUGCACACUGCUGGUCAUAGCUGUGUAAUAAUGCAGCCUUGCCUCGCCACUUGCAUGAACUUUGCUCUUAAGUAGAGCCCAAGCCAUUUCUAAACAAAGGCCUAAAUGUGAAAUUACAGUCAACUUCCAUGCCUAUGUUAUUACGAGAUUUUCAUUUUCCUAGGGUAUGAACAAUAGCAGCUAUUUGGCUGCGCUGUUUUCCCGGGUGCUGGCACAAUAUGCAUCUUCUGUAAACUGACAUCUCAUGAUUUUGUCUGAAAAUAGAAUAUUUAACUGCACAUUUUAUUCUCUCAUAGUGAGUUUCAUUCAAAUGGUCUUAAACUUGUAUUUCUUCAUUGCUUAUUAACUUUAAUGAGGUAUGAAUAUAAAAGAGAAUAUUAAAAGGGUUUUCUUUUUCAAAAAGGCAUUUCUUUACCAACAGUGUUGACGUUAUCGAGUAGGUGUGUCUAAGCCCUUAAAUUUACUAUUGAUCUUAUAGUCAUUAAAUAAAGAAUGAGAUUUAAAAAACCUUAGGCAACUAGGAUUAACAGCU